UUGACUGGUCAUGCCAUUUGACCAAGAUGCUGUAUUAUCUCACUCCCUGAAAACAAAGGCAUAGAAUUCAAGAUUCAGAGUGUGGCUAAUAUGAAGCAUGGAGGUCUUCCUUCUGCCCUGAUCAUAGGGAAAUUAAAGCAGGAAGAUAGACUUGCUGGUGCAUAUCCAACAUUCUCUUCACUCCCAAAUCCUGGGGACAGGAAGAAACUGUUGAACAUUUUGAAUCACCGAAUCAAAUGUGACAAAAUCUCUGCUAAGGUUUGGCUAAGAAUGUAGAAUGUGAAUUAGAAGAUGGAUUUGAAAGUACCUUGCAAAUUACAAUGUGCUGGACACACAGAAGGCAUCAUUGUUGGGAGUGUUGCUUCCUGGAAUAGUAAAAGCAGCCCCGAUUUAAGGAAGGCAUCUAGAAUCAUCUGUUUUCUAGCUGACUACUCAGGUAAUGCCAGUAAAAUAGAUUGGCAAGAGAAACUGGCAAGUCCUUCCUAAAAAGAAGUUUCAAAAUAACCAGAGAGCAUGCAUGAACUCAACUCAAUCUUCAAUAAAGUUUGCUUUAACUAAACAGCAGCAACAAAACCAAUAAUACUAUACAUUAAUUAUUUGGCUAAAAACCGGUCCUGAGAUCAAAGGUUUCUGGUGUGUGUUCCAUCUUUAAGAGUCCAAAGCAAAAAUGCAGACAAAAUGUAUGUGUCAUUAACCCCCAUGGGUACUGCAGAAAUGCAUUACCUGCAGGUUUGGUGAAUGUAGUUUCUUGCAAGUUGAAAUACAGGGAAUGAAGAAUCCAGCA